rnacentral:lncRNA from 1 species
GGGGUGCUGGAGAUGGGGCUGUCCCAGCAGGAUGGAUGUGGUGCCCCGCACUGGCUGCAGUGUGUUCCCAUUGCACGCGGUUGCUUCACAUAUUCCAGAUGAAAAGCGCUUGACAAAUGACUGUAGGAAGGAGCCGAGCCUGAAGACUGGGGCACAGAUGUGUUGGGAUUUACACUGCUCAGCUCCUGCCUGCCUCUCCAGAAGAAAGUCCCCACCAGGCUGGCCCGAUCCAGGCUCUGGGUGAAUUAUGGGGACUGCAGAGGCCAUCUCCUAAUUCAGGCUAUCUGUCUUGGAGAAAGCUCAGAAGAGGGGGACGCUCCAGGGCAAGAUGGCAUUGUGGUGUUGGGAGCAGUAAGGCAUAAAGUCUGGAGUUGCCUCCUGCCUUGGGAGCCCGCGGAUUUUGGAAAUGGGCUGAGCCUGUGGGAUGGGUACCUGUGUUGCAAGAAACUCCAUGAGUGUUGGUGGUAACAGGGGUGAUGGUGCUGGGAAGGGAAGGAUGAAUUAAUCUCAUGUAGAAGGCCUAAUGAGGAGACAGUUUGUACUUAUUGACGGCUUUCAGGGGUAGUCUUCCUUCAUCUUGAGUGGUUGUGCCCUGAGGACUUCUAAUCCAGGAGAAAAAGGUAAGGAGAUGGUUGUUGGACCACUCCUGUCCAACUUGGCAGUAAACGUCCUGUCUUUGUGCUGGAAAACAUGAAAAUCCUCAAAGUUUCACUAGAGAUGUGUUCAGAAGAUGCUGUUGGGAGAGGGCUCUCUCCAGUGAUGUAACAAGCUGCAGUUUGCUUCAAACUUUAAGUAUUAUAAAUGUGGCUGAUGUAAUUCUAUUUCAAAAAGCCUUAGAGGCUUGCAAUAAUAAACAGAGCCUUUUAGUACCA